CUGGGUUGCAGAGCAUCAGAAGGGCAGAGACUGUAUCUUCUGGAGCAGGAAGACCGAAACAUCUAUUUACUCUUAUAUAUAGUCAUGGAUAGCAGCAUGGUGCCAAAUUGAAUUGAAUGCUGGCUUCCCUCCCAGGCUGGUCUCCAUCACUGCCCUCUGGACAGAGUCACUGCUGCUCAGGACACAAGAAGACUCUCAGGUCCUGAGCUCAGCCAGGUGGCCAGUAUCUUGAGGGAUCAACACACUAAUGAAUCAAGCAGGAGUGUGACCUAAAGAAAAGGGACAAUAAAAAAGAAAGAAAGAGAGAGAGAGAAAGAAGGAAAGAAAGAGGACAAUAAAAUGAAGGCAC
rnacentral:lncRNA from 1 species